rnacentral:rRNA from 1 species
GAGUUUGAUCCUGGCUCAGAUUGAACGCUGGCGGAAUGCUUUACACAUGCAAGUCGAGCGGCAGCGCGGGGCAACCUGGCGGCGAGCGGCGAACGGGUGAGUAAUACAUCGGAACGUGCCCAGACGUGGGGGAUAGCCCGGCGAAAGCCGGAUUAAUACCGCAUACGAUCUAAGGAUGAAAGCGGGGGAUCGCAAGACCUCGCGCGUUUGGAGCGGCCGAUGGCAGAUUAGGUAGUUGGUGGGGUAAAAGCUUACCAAGCCUACGAUCUGUAGCUGGUCUGAGAGGACGACCAGCCACACUGGGACUGAGACACGGCCCAGACUCCUACGGGAGGCAGCAGUGGGGAAUUUUGGACAAUGGGCGAAAGCCUGAUCCAGCCAUUCCGCGUGCAGGAUGAAGGCCCUCGGGUUGUAAACUGCUUUUGUACGGAACGAAAAGG